CUACGGGAGGCAGCAGUGGGGAAUUUUCCGCAAUGGGCGAAAGCCUGACGGAGCAAUACCGCGUGAGGGAAGACGGCCUAUGGGUUGUAAACCUCUUUUUUCAGGGAGGAAUUUUGACGUGUACCUGAAGAAUAAGCAUCGGCUAACUCCGUGCCAGCAGCCGCGGUAAGACGGAGGAUGCAAGUGUUAUCCGGAAUCACUGGGCGUAAAGCGUCUGUAGGUGGUUGAACAAGUCAACUGUUAAAUCUUGAGGCUCAACUUCAAAAUCGCAGUCGAAACUGUUUGACUAGAGUAUAGUAGGGGUAAAGGGAAUUUCCAGUGGAGCGGUGAAAUGCGUAGAUAUUGGAAAGAACACCGAUGGCGAAGGCACUUUACUGGGCUAUUACUGACACUCAGAGACGAAAGCUAGGGUAGCAAAUGGGAUUAGAUACCCCAGUAGUCCUAGCCGUAAACAAUGGAUACUAGAUGUUGAACAGAUCGACCUGUGCAGUAUCAAAGCUAACGCGUUAAGUAUCCCGCCUGGGAAGUAUGCUCGCAAGAGUGAAACUCAAAG
rnacentral:rRNA from 1 species